UACCGAGGUGUCAAACGUUGUCCGGAAUUACUGGGCGUAAAGGGCGCGUAGGCGGCCUUAUAAGUCAUUUGUGAAAGCUCUGGGCUCAACCCAGGAAUUGCAAGUGAUACUGUAAGGCUUGAGUUCGGUAGAGGAGGGCGGAAUUCCAGGUGUAGCGGUGAAAUGCGUAGAUAUCUGGAGGAACACCCGUGGCGAAGGCGGCUCUCUGGUCCGAAACUGACGCUGAGGUGCGAAAGCUAGGGUAGCAAACAGG
rnacentral:rRNA from 1 species